rnacentral:ncRNA from 2 species
ACGGGAAUCCGGGAUCCGAAGCCGGAGCGGCCCCGCCACUGUGACCGGGACGAAACCGCACGGAUGCCACUGGGGUCCCCCCCCGGGAAGGCGCGGGAGUAGGAGGAACGGGAGCCAGGAGACCG